CGAGGUAAGUAUUGGAAAGUCUUCGGACGGGAAGAUACUUACCGAGUGGCGGACGGGUGAGUAACGCGUGGGUAACCUGCCUCAUACAGGGGGAUAACAGUCAGAAAUGGCUGCUAAUACCGCAUAAGCGCACAGUGUCACAUGACACGGUGUGAAAAACUCUGGUGGUAUGAGAUGGACCCGCGUCUGAUUAGCUAGUUGGUAAGGUAAUGGCUUACCAAGGCGACGAUCAGUAGCCGACCUGAGAGGGUGACCGGCCACAUUGGGACUGAGACACGGCCCAAACUCCUACGGGAGGCAGCAGUGGGGAAUAUUGCACAAUGGGGGAAACCCUGAUGCAGCGACGCCGCGUGAGUGAUGAAGUAUUUCGGUAUGUAAAGCUCUAUCAGCAAGGAAGAAAAAAGACGGUACUUGACUGAGAAGCCCCGGCUAACUACGUGCCAGCAGCCGCGGUAAUACGUAGGGGGCAAGCGUUAUCCGGAUUUACUGGGUGUAAAGGGAGCGUAGACGGCAUGGCAAGUCAGAAGUGAAAGCCCGGGGUCAACCCCGUGGACUGCUUUUGAAACUGCUAAGCUAGAGUGCAGGAGAGGUAAGUGGAAUUCCUAGUGUAGCGGUGAAAUGCGUAGAUAUUAGGAGGAACACCAGUGGCGAAGGCGGCUUACUGGACUGUAACUGACGUUGAGGCUCGAAAGCGUGGGGAGCAAACA
rnacentral:rRNA from 1 species